CCCUAUACCUGUCCCUAUAUGUGUCCCUAUACCUGGCCCUAUAUAUGUCCCUAUACCUGUCCCUAUACGUGUCCCUAUACCUGUCCCUAUAUGUGCCCCUAUACCUGUCCCUAUAUCUGUCCCUAUAUGUGUCCCUAUACCUGGCCCUAUAUGUGCCCUAUACCUGGCCCUAUAUAUGUCCCUAUACCUGUCCCUAUAUCUCCCUCAUCCCUGUCCCUAUAUGUGUCCCUAUACAUGCCUAUAUGUGCCCCAUUGCUGUCCCUAUAUGUGCCCCUAUACCUGUCCCUAUAUGUGCCCCUAUACCUGUCCCUAUAUGUGUCCCUAUACCUGUCCCUAUACCUGUCCCUAUAUGUGCCCCUAUACCUGUCCCUAUAUGUGUCCCUAUACCUGUCCCCAUCCCUGUCCCUAUAUGUGUCCCUCAGCGCCCUGUGAGCGUCCCCCCGGCACCGCAGUCUAUAGGGUGGCAGAUUGUCCCUAUAUCUGACCCUAUAUGUGACCCUAUAUGUGACCCACAGCUCCCUGUGAGCGUCCCCCCGGCACCGCAGUCUAUAGGGUGGCAGAUUGUCCCUAUAUCUGACCCUAUAUGUGACCCUAUAUGUGUCCCACAGCUCCCUGUGAGCGUCCCCCCGGCACCGCAGUCUAUAGGGUGGCAGACUACGCGCGGCGCUAUGGGGUCCCCGUUAUCGCCGAUGGAGGGAUCCGGGGUGUGGGGCAGGCGGUCAAGGCACUGGCUGUGGGAGCCAACACUGGUGGGUUAUGGGGUGGGUAUGGGGUAUGGGGUAUGGGGUAUAGGGUGUGGAGUGUGGGGUAUGGGGUAUGGGGGUAUAGGAUAUGGGGUAUGGGGUAUGGGGUGGGUAUAGGGUAUGGGGUGUGGGAUAUAGGGUAUGGGUAUGGGGUAUGGGGUAUGGGGUAUGGGAUGUGGGAUAUAGGGAAUGGGUAUGGGGUAUGGGGUAUAGGGUACGGGUAUGGCUAUGGGGGGUGGGUAUGGGGUGACAGCCAUACACUAUACCCACCCAUACCCCAU
rnacentral:lncRNA from 1 species